AUUGAACGCUGGCGGCAGGCCUAACACAUGCAAGUCGAGCGGAGCGGCGGACGGGUGAGUAAUGUCUGGGAAACUGCCUGAUGGAGGGGGAUAACUACUGGAAACGGUAGCUAAUACCGUAUUCUUAUAGAUGGAUCCGCGCUGCAUUAGCUAGUUGGUAAGGUAACGGCUUACCAAGGCAACGAUGCAUAGCCGACCUGAGAGGAUGAUCAGUCACACUGGAACUGGGAAACGGUCCAGACGCCUACGGGAGGCAGCAGGGGGGAAUAUUGGACAAUGGGCGAAAGCCUGAGCCAGCCAUGCCGCGUGUGUGAAGAAGGUCUUCGGAUUGUAAAGCACUUUAAGUUGGGAGGCGUUACCAACAGAAUAAGCACCGGCUAACUUCGUGCCAGCCGCCGCGGUAAUUC
rnacentral:rRNA from 1 species